rnacentral:rRNA from 1 species
GACGAACGCUGGCGGCGUGCCUAAUACAUGCAAGUUGAGCGCUGAAGGUUGGUACUUGUACCGACUGGAUGAGCAGCGAACGGGUGAGUAACGCGUGGGGAAUCUGCCUUUGAGCGGGGGACAACAUUUGGAAACGAAUGCUAAUACCGCAUAAAAACUUUAAACACAAGUUUUAAGUUUGAAAGAUGCAAUUGCAUCACUCUAAGAUGAUCCCGCGUUGUAUUAGCUAGUUGGUGAGGUAAAGGCUCACCAAGGCGAUGAUACAUAGCCGACCUGAGAGGGUGAUCGGCCACAUUGGGACUGAGACACGGCCCAAACUCCUACGGGAGGCAGCAGUAGGGAAUCUUCGGCAAUGGACGAAAGUCUGACCGAGCAACGCCGCGUGAGUGAAGAAGGUUUUCGGAUCGUAAAACUCUGUUGGUAGAGAAGAACGUUGGUGAGAGUGGAAAGCUCAUCAAGUGACGGUAACUACCCAGAAAGGGACGGCUAACUACGU